AGACAGUGCUGCAUGGCUGUCGUCAGCUCGUGUCGUGAGAUGUUGGGUUAAGUCCCGCAACGAGCGCAACCCUUGCCUUUAGUUGCCAGCAGUUCGGCUGGGCACUCUAAAGGGACUGCCGGUGUUAAACCGGAGGAAGGUGGGAAUGACGUCAAGUCCUCAUGGCCUUUAUGACCAGGGCUACACACGUACUACAAUGGCCGAUACAAAGGGCAGCGACACUGCGAGGUGAAGCCAAUCCCGUAAAAUCGGUCUCAGUCCGGAUUGGAGUCUGCAACUCGACUCCAUGAAGUUGGAAUCGCUAGUAAUCGUGGAUCAGCAUGCCACGGUGAAUACGUUCCCGGGCCUU
rnacentral:rRNA from 1 species